ensembl:lncRNA
GCAGGAGCAGCCCCCGCAGGAAGAGGGCGCCAGAGAGCGAUCUGAUCCAGGUGGAGGUGGAGCGCCUGCCGCCCAGCCCGCACACGCCCCGCACGCCCCGCACGCCCGAGAGGAUCUCCCUUGACUCAGUCAGUCUGUCGUCCCCGCUGGAGAGAUGGGAGGACCUCACGAUGGACCUGGAGGCCAGUGUCAGCCGGCGGGGCCGACGCGAAAACAAGUGCUCCUCGAACCACUCGUCCAGCGAGCUCCUCUGGUCUGCAGAGUUCAAGACGGAUCCUUCCACCAGGAACACCUUUGACGUGCGGAGUCUGGACGAGGGCGACCUGCUCUCCGCAUCCCCCCAGGUCAGUCCACAGCCCGUAGGCAGCGAC